rnacentral:rRNA from 1 species
UACAGAGGGGGCAAGCGUUGUUCGGAAUUACUGGGCGUAAAGGGCGCGUAGGCGGCCUGUUAAGUCGAACGUGAAAUCCCCGGGCUCAACCCGGGAACUGCGUCCGAUACUGGCAGGCUUGAAUCCGGGAGAGGGAUGUGGAAUUCCAGGUGUAGCGGUGAAAUGCGUAGAUAUCUGGAGGAACACCAGUGGCGAAAGCGGCAUCCUGGACCGACACUGACGCUGAGGAGCGAAAGCCAGGGGAGCAAACGGG